UUAAUUUCUGAUCUGGGCUGAUUGUUCAUUCUCCGUUUUAAUUUUGCUUUAAAGAAGUGUUUAUUCAGCAGUUCGUUUUGUUCCGACAACCGAAUACCAGUAGCUGAAACAGGUGGUAGGAGUCGUGGCAUUACCAGAACGAGUUUUGUCGGCAGUCUGACAGGUGUAGAAGUCAUGAAAAUGCUUGCCAAGUUUUUAGCCGAUGGCUUGCAAAGAGAGGAAGAAGGUCGCUUACAAGAUCCAGUUGUAAAAUCAAUCAUAUUCAACAGGUCUUGCUUGGCAUGGCAGGUGCAGCACAAUCCUCAAUUUAUUAAAGCUUCUAUCCACCACUGAUCUAUCAAUGCAAGAGAAUGUCAUGGCAGCUCUGUUGAACCUUUCAAAACAUUCCUAGAGAAAAAUGUUAAUUGUCAAGAAUAAUGGAUUGGGAUUGAUUUUGGACGUUCUAAGAGGAGGAAUUUCAAAAUAUUCUAACAGCUGCUACAUUUUUUUUUUUCAUGUUAAUUGUUAAGAACAAUGGAUUGGGAUUGAUUUUGGACGUUCUAAGAGGAGGAAUUAUAAAACAUUCUAGCAGCUGCUACAUUUUUUUUAUCUUCGGUUGAGGAGUACAGGAAACUAAUUAGAGAGAUGCCAAAGGCAAUCUCUUCCUUGGUAGAGCUGAUGAGGAUUGGAAUAGCUAAUGGGAAGAAGAAUGCUUGCAAACACUACAAGAAAAGCGGUCAAAGCCGGUGCCUUAGAGCUGGCGGUCUUUAUGACUGCCGCUAUAAGGAUAUCUGACUUGGCCAUCUUUCGAUUCUGCCGCAGCGGUUUAUAUUAAUAGACUCGACAAAUUUUACAAUGAACCGGUCUAAUCGUUUAUUGAACCGACAGAUUUUACAACAAACCAGUCUAAUGUGGGAGAGCAAAAGAAAUUUUCUCUCCCGCGCGAAGUCCUUCCUGUUCGACAAGAUAGGAGGGUUCUCUUUUCAGAAGAACCUUGCAGAAAUUUUUCAAAGAAGACAAGCUUCUUCACGAGAAAGAAAGAUAGCAGACUUCUGUCCAUUUGAGACGGGGAAAGAUUCAUUCACAAAAAAAUUAUUUAUACUGAAGUUUGAGAAGGAGAAAGAUCCAUGCUUGAGAAGGGAGAAAUUUCUGGGCGACCUCUGUUCGUUCGAGCAAGAGAGGAGAAAUUUCGGCAACAGUGAACAGUGAGAAGUGAGAACCGGCCGACCGUCUUCCUCCUCUGCCAUUCUCAAGGUGAUCUUAUUUUACUGUUCAGUGGGAGCAACCUGUAAACAAUCUUGUAAAAGCCUAAUGUGGACUUUUGGAAGCAUCUAUAGUGGCAAUUGGCACCUAUAGAAAAAGAGUUUUGGUGAUCUUUUUGAUCAAUAAAGAGUUCCAAAGAUUCUUCAUACAUGGCAGAGAAAAAGUGCUACUUAGCUUCCAAAGAACACAUGCUGAAAUGCGUAGAAGGGCAAAAGGAUAUUUCUUACAACCUCUAGUAUGAAGAAGGGCAAAAGAUAUUCCAACUCCAAAAUGAACUAUCUAAGCUCACUCUGCAGGUUCUUCAGUCUGUAAACAUUCCGGGUUUUAGGGAACACCCUUAUGGUGAACCCUCCAGGACAUUCUUCGUGAGAAAUAUAAAUAGCCAUGUUGAGGAUACAAAAUUAAAGGCUCUUUUUGAGUGGGUAUACUUUGUUGAGGGAUCCACACCAUAAUAAAGGACUUGUCUUCACUGAGAAAGAGAGAGAUGCCCACUACUUGCGAGGUCUUCUGCCCCAGCAAUGGUCAGUCAAGCUCUUUAGGUGGAAGUCAAGGAACUUCACUAAGCUAAGGUGCCAUUGCUGGAAUAGCAAUUUCUUGUGCUUCUUUGGUCUUCUUACUCAUGGGUGUGAGAAUCUAUGCCAUUCGGCAAAAGAAAUGUGCAGACAAAGCUACUAAAUCGAGUAAACCAUUUGCAUCGUCGUUUCAAAUGAAUAGUGAUAAUGGUGGUGCACCAAAAUUAAAAGGAGCUUGAUUGUUUUCUUAUGAUAAACUCAGAGCAUGCACCAGCAAUUUCUCAGAAAGCAAUGGAAUCGGAUCUGGGGRCUAUGGCAAGGUUUAUAAAGGAAUUCUCUCUAGUGGGCAAGUGGUAGCAAUUAAAAGAGCAACACAAGAUUCAAUGCAGGGUGGGCAUGAAUUUAGAAAUGAAAUUGAGUUGCUUUUACGGGUUCAUCACAAAAAUCUGGUGAACCUGGAAGGUUUUUGUUUAGAGCAAAGAGAGCAGAUGUUGGUCUACGAAUUCAUUCCUAAUGGGACGCUUUGGGAGAGUUUAUUUGGGAGAUCGGGAAUUCACCUAGAUUGCAAGAGGAGACUCCAAAUUGCUCUAGACUCAGCCAGAGGAUUAUCAUAUCUUCAUGAACAUGCUAAUCCCCCCAUAAUUCAUAGAGAUGUUAAGUCGAGUAAUAUUCUAUUGGAUGAAAAUUUAGUUGCAAAGGUUGCAGAUUUUGGACUAUCCAAGCUGAUAUCAGACAUUUCUAAGGGACAUGCUUCCUUCCAAGUUAAAGGAACAGUGAAUGAUUGCCAUGACCUGAGCCUCAUAAAGAGAGUUUCAUUCCUUAGUCUAAUCAUCAUAUCAUAUGUGGAUGCAGCAACAAGGAAGAGUUCUUGAUGCUUUAAGGAGUGGUUCAAUUCCAGAAAUCUAGGCAUGCAUGAAAUUGGGAAGCAUGCAAGAGGCUUUAUCACUGACGUCUGGCAUUCUGGUUUCUUGUGUUCCAUUGACUAUUGUUCUUGAGCCCACACAAGCAUAAUGCCAUGAUGUUUUUUAUGUAUUAAUUUGUAUUCUUUCGGAACGUAACAUGUAUUAAUUUGUGAUUCGAAUGGAAAUACAUCUUUUAAAUUGCAUUUA